rnacentral:lncRNA from 1 species
UAAAUUUUAAAAAAAAAAAAAAAUCACUCUUAAGGACGUUUCUCAAUUCUCUAAUUCUAGCAACAGACUGCUUUUCUGUACAAGGCCAGGAGAGAGGGGCAAACAAUGGCAUAAGCUCUUCUGAGCUCAGUAAAUCUACUUCUGAAAGUGGAAAUCUGGAUUUAUAAAGAUGACAUGCUGGCUGCCUAACACAUAAAGGUUUUGCCCCUCCAAAAGAAUGAGAAAGUGAUGAUGGGAAAAAUCAACAAUCUAAUCUCCGAGGAAGCCGUAGUGGUUAUCUGGAAUCUUCUCUUCCUAACCCUACCAAUAAGUGGGUAGGUCUGUAAGUUAAUUGCUGCUCACUCGUCUGGUUCCCCUGACAGCUUGUUCAAACUCGUAUUAACCACAUAAACACUGUUUUAGUUAUCUGUUUACAUGUCUGCUAUGCCCAUUAGACAAACCAUGGAAGUUUACUAGCACUUGAGGGAUGUUUUAAUUACUCUUAAUUUUUUAAUAAUUUUGUUUGUAUUUUUCCUUUAUUGCAAAUUCACUUUGAUAUAACAGUAAAAAUAAAGAGGAUAGCAGAAAAUUUUCUAUCUUACAUGUAACUGGAAAAAGUAGAAACAAUUUGUUUUUCAGUGAAGAUGAAGCCACUGCCGAUAAAUCUCAGGCCAAGUUUACUCCUGGCCAUAAUGUGUGUUUCUGUGAUGCUAUGUUUAUUCAGCCCAUACCAUUACAUGGAGUCAACUAAGAGUGUUCACAGAUACAAGAUUUGGCCUGAAUCACUACACAUGAGCCUUUUGAACAUUAUAGUGCUCACAAAACUGUCACCUGUCAACUGUGCUGUUCAUAAC